rnacentral:tRNA from 1 species
UUAUUGGUGGUUCAGUGGUAGAAUGUUCGCCUGCCAUGCGGGUGACCCGGGUUCGAUUCCGUGCCAAUUCA